GAUGAACGCUGGCGGCGUGCCUAAUACAUGCAAGUCGAGCGAACAGACGAGGAGCUUGCUCCUCUGACGUUAGCGGCGGACGGGUGAGUAACACGAGGAUAACCUACCUAUAAGACUGGGAUAACUUCGGGAAACCGGAGCUAAUACCGGAUAAUAUAUUGAACCGCAGGGUUCAAUAGUGAAAGACGGUUUUGCUGUCACUAAUAGAUGGAUCCGGGCCGCAUUAGCUAGUUGGUAAGGUAACGGCCUACCAAGGCAACGAUGCGGAACCGACCCGAGAGGGUGGUCAGGCCCCCUUGAACUGAGACACGGUCCAGACUCCUACGGGGGGCCGCAGUGGGGAAUUUUGCACAAUGGGCGAAAGCCUUAUCGAGCCACGCCGCGUGUGUUAAGAAGGGCUUCGGAUUGUAAAACCCUUUUAGUUGGGAAGAAGGAAAGUAGGAUGAAACUUUGCUGUUUUGACGGUACCCAAAGAAGAAGCCCCGGCUAACUUCCUG
rnacentral:rRNA from 1 species